UACGAAGGGUGCAAACGUUGCUCGGAAUUAUUGGGCGUAAAGAGCUCGUAGGCGGCCUGUUGCGUCCGCUGUGAAAGCCCGGGGCUUAACCCCGGGUCUGCAGUGGAUACGGGCAGGCUAGAGGUAGGUAGGGGAGAAUGGAAUUCCCGGUGUAGCGGUGAAAUGCGCAGAUAUCAGGAGGAACACCGAUGGCGAAGGCAGGUCUCUGGGCCAUAACUGACGCUGAGAAGCGAAAGCAUGGGGAGCGAACAGG
rnacentral:rRNA from 1 species